UUCGGAUGAGGGCUCCAUAAUGAAUUUAAAUACAUAUAGAUAAUAGUUUUAGGACAUCGACUUUCUUGAGAUCCUAUAAAAUACGUUUUAAUUAUUAUUUUUGUAUGUUUUAAGCAUGAUAAAUUAUGAAAUUUUAUAUAAUCAAUCAUAUUAAAUCGAUAUCAAAGUCAAUAAAUAAUGUACAACCCAAAACAGACGGCCGAACUGACGUGACAAUGACAUUUGGCGCGCUAAACAUGGCGGAUUUUCGGCCUCAUUAGACGGAGACGGAGAUAUUUACGUAUAUUCAUGUUUCAUUUUAUGUACGCACUGAAAUACUGUUAUAUUGUUUUCCUGCGAGUUAAAGUGCUGAGUAAGAACGAGAUAGAUAUAUGUUUAUGUAUGUGCCUUCAAAAUGGGUGCUAUUUAUAUAAGCAAUUGUACGUAUAGAACAAUAUGUCGUGUCCCUACUAUAUAGGUCUAUGGUUUAGGUAAGUAGGUAAUGAUUGACUUUCGUCCUUAUGUCAACUGUCAUUUUCCUGCACCACGAUGCUACCAGAGGAAAUGCCUCAGUGAAAUGAUAAAUAGCGAAGGAGUAUUAAAAAGAUAAUUUUUUUUAUUAGCCCUAGCAAGAGCCCUCGCAGAAUCUACUACUGGAUCGGAAUCGCGCCUCUCUUAGAAACGAGGUCUGUGCUGCUUCCCGGGUUUGAGUACCGUCGGGGCGCGGGCCGGCAAUGGUCGAGGUGAGGAAGCCCUCCUCCUAGAACGUCAAGGUCGAGCUUCGCAGCAGACAAGGUCAUCCAGUCUACCUCCACCCCCGUCCGCAUUGCCACGUCCACCAAGGAAACCUUCGGCUAGAACCACUAGAUACGAUCGACUUGAACAUAGAGAUACUCGCAAGGACUCAGACGGUUCCGGUUCGAUAGCUUCCACUGCGUCACGCAGCUCUCCUCUGCCGUACGACACGAGUACAGUCCGUAAGCUACCAUCGGUGCCCACUUCGUCGUCCUUGCCCGCUGCAGAGUCCCGGGAGUCCUUAGUACGACCCCGGGAUUCCAGUUUGCCCUCUCCGUCCAAGCUGGCUGUGUACGCCGCGGCAAGACGUCGCUCCGCAGAAUCAGCGAAAGAAAACAAUAAGAGAACCCAUCAUUAUCGUAUACAGUUUUAAGAUUUUGUUUAUUUUUUAAUGUACAUAAAACAAUGGUUUUUUUCUACACUAGCUUAACCCAGCCACACUCUGCUGUGUCUGAUAUUAAUAAUAUUUCCUUCGAAAAAUUGGAUUUUUUUCAUAAUUUCAUUGUUUAUUUCUUAUGGCGCAAAACCCUUACUUUUUUGUAAAGCUUACUGUGUGCUUAGUGCGAGUUUUUUGUCGCUCUCGAUAGCGUAAAAGUUAACUCGAUUUUGUAUGGAGUUUGGACAGCGCCACUAGCGGCAAACUUAGGCAAACGUUCCAACUCCAUACAAAAUCGAAUUAACUUUUACGUUAUCGAGAGCGUUAAAAAACUCGUACUAAGCACACUGAACACAGCUAUCUGUUAGUAAAAUUUCCGUCAAGAUCGGUUCAAUAAAUUCGGAUAUUAUAAUCUUUGGUAUGUUAAUAAAUUUUGGUAUACUAAAAUAUUAUUAUUUUUUGUAGAACCAACCCAAGAAGAUUUGUUAAAUGUUACCAUAUUUUAAAAUAAUAUGCAUUUAAUUAGAAACUGUUAUUUUGACAUUAUAAACAUACACUUUAAUUUUAUUUAUUUGUAUAGAUUUAUCAUAAUUCGAGGGGUGAAAGGCUAUUUAGUAUUAGCAUCAACAAUUCGAUGUUUUUAAUUGAACUGCAAUUAAAUUUACCCCAUUCAAAUAACUGAAGAAGUUUUCUGUUAACUAUGAUAUUUUUCCAAAUUUUAAACUUUUACUGGCUCUCCUGUAAAGUUGCAAAAAUGUCGCUUAAACUAUCGCCAUCGAUAUGAAGGUAUCCCUACUUGCUUACAAUAGAUUUUUGAUAACAGGGUGAAGCUAGCGUUUUCUUUUUGUUGAGUGGAAUUUGUUUUGGAAUUUACAAUGUAUCUAUUUUGAUUAGCGUAAGCGUGCAGAAGAGCUUGAAUUUUAAACUAAAACAAGCUUGAAUCUAUCCAAUGUAAAUAAGUAUUUUCCUUGGUUUCCGCAAAUCGUUAAUUAAAUAACAAUUAAAACUAUUUUUACGCGUCCACCAAAACUGUAAAGCAUUCGAAACGUCACAGAUAAUAUAAUGAAAAAAAAACAUAGUCGAAUUGAGAACCUCCUCCUUUUUUGAAGGCGGUUAAUAAUAAACGUCGUGAUUAUAUCGUAAAAGUAGUUUUAAUAAUGAAAAUUACAUACAGAUUAUUUACAAGAGCUUUAAAAGUACUUAUAUUUCAUUUUACAAGAAAUUGUGUUUGUGUGUUGCGUUUUCAUUUGGAAGGAUGAUACAUUUUACCACUUUUUUAAAUCGCUUUAUUGUAUGAUUAUUCGAGUGGUUUUUUGUAGUUGAUUUUAAGUUAACUGCCGGUUGAACUAUAGACUUGAUAAAUUUCGCAUAGCUUAGAUUCGAAUGCCAAGAAAAUGUGAACAGAAAAGAUAAUCACAAGUACAUCCUCAUUACAAUUUUCUCGUUUAUAUUUUCGUUCGCUUAAACUGGUUUUGUGCAAAUAGUACCGUACAAAGCAUUACGUAAAUCGUAUGCAGUACUACAGAGAUAAUUGGACUAAUGACAGGUUAGUUCUUUAUUAUCUAACAAGCGGUACUGUUGCGGCGUUUGAAACUAUUAUAGCGUUAUAUCGUUAUUUUUAAUGUAAUGUAUAUUUAGCCAAACGGUUUUGAACGUUAAACGAUUCUGAAUUACAAAUAUAAAGCCCAUCUAAUAUUGCUCGACGGUCGUUGCAUCUAUUUCGAUAAGAAAUUGCGUGUAUCACGGUGAUAUCGAGCUUAUUGAAAAGCUGGAUAGAAAACAAGAAAAAAUAGAAAACAAGAAAAAAUUUAAAUUUUAGACAAAUUUGUCAAUGCGUUUUUUGGAAAGUCAAAAUGUUGCUUAAAAACAAAUACAUUGAUAUAUUAUCUAAAAUAAGGCAUUAUAUUGUUAUUUUUUUUGUUUUUAGCAGACAAACAACAAGCUCAAUUUUAAAUUAUAAUUAAUAAGUAGAUAGAGUCACGCAGAAGCAGAAUCGAUAUCAAAAUGAAAAACCUUUAAAACAAAACCAGGAAAGCAUGUUAUGGCACAUGUAUAAAAAUAAGUUUUAUGGUUUUAUUUUGAAACGAGCAACAUUUGUGCUGAUUUGAAAAGUGCAAUAACAAUGAAUUAAUUAUAUUAAACGAAAUAAAUUUCAUAAAGGUCAGAAUGUAUAAAACAAUUAAAAAAAUAUCAUAAAGUUU